UUUAUGGAGAGUUUGAUCCUGGCUCAGGAUGAACGCUGGCGGCCUGCCUAAUACAUGCAAGUCGA
rnacentral:rRNA from 1 species